rnacentral:rRNA from 1 species
GAUGAACGCUAGCUACAGGCUUAACACAUGCAAGUCGAGGGGAAACGACAUCGAAAGCUUGCUUUUGAUGGGCGUCGACCGGCGCACGGGUGAGUAACGCGUAUCCAACCUGCCCAUCACUUGGGGAUAACCUUGCGAAAGUAAGACUAAUACCCAAUGAUAUCUCUAGAAGACAUCUGAAAGAGAUUACAGAUUUAUCGGUGAUGGAUGGGGAUGCGUCUGAUUAGCUUGUUGGCGGGGUAACGGCCCACCAAGGCACCGAUCAGUAGGGGUUCUGAGAGGAAGGUCCCCCACAUUGGAACUGAGACACGGUCCAAACUCCUACGGGAGGCAGCAGUGAGGAAUAUUGGGCAAUGGGCGAGAGCCUGAACCAGCCAAGUAGCGUGCAGGAAGACGGCCCUAUGGGUUGUAAACUGCUUUUAUAAGGGAAUAAAGUGAGAGUCGUGACUCUUUUUGUAUGUACCUUAUGAAUAAGGACCGGCUAAUUCCGUG